rnacentral:rRNA from 1 species
GACGAACGCUGGCGGCGUGCUUAACACAUGCAAGUGGAGCGACGAACCGGGCUUCGGCCCGGGGCAAAGCCGCGAACGGGUGAGUAACACGUGGGUAACCUGCCCCGUUGACCGGGACAACUCGAGGAAACUCGAGCUAAUACCGGAUGAGCUCGCAUCCCAUCAGGGUUGUGAGGAAAGGAAGCUUCGGCCUCCGCAUCGGGAUGGGCCCGCGGCCCAUUAGCUUGUUGGUGGGGUAACGGCCUACCAAGGCUUCGAUGGGUAGCUGGUCUGAGAGGACGAUCAGCCACACUGGGACUGAGACACGGCCCAGACUCCUACGGGAGGCAGCAGUGGGGAAUCUUGCGCAAUGCGCGAAAGCGUGACGCAGCAACGCCGCGUGCGGGAAGACGGCCU